rnacentral:lncRNA from 1 species
UUUUUGAGGCUCUCUACUAUUGGACCUCCUGGAGAGUCACCUUCUCGGAGAGGGAAAGAGAGGUUAAUUACUUAAGACUGCUCUUAUCCCCAACAUUGUCAAGAUUUGCAUUGUCUUGAUAGUCCCGGUAGCAAUGCUUCUACUGAUGGGGAGUGGUAACUUUUUUGGUGGGAUUCCUAUGCCUUGGAGGAGGGCUAACUGAUGAAAGCUCCAUCUUCUAGGGAGCCAGAAUUUAAAAGAGCAGAAGGCAACUUCCCAGUUUGUAGUGACUAGUGAUCCAGAGUUCUUUAGGUAACAGGAUACUUGGCUCCGAUGAUUGCCUACAUACCCAU